rnacentral:lncRNA from 1 species
GAGACUUUGAACUACCUCAAGAAGAGGAAUCUAAUGCAAUGUUUGUAAUGCUUCCAUAGUGCUGAGGGCCACAGCGGAGUCGGGAUGACGCAAGGCAUUUUUGCCAGAAUGGAGUGAUUGAGAGGUGACUGAUGAUGGUUAUGUUAAGCUGUGUAUUCAAUUGUAUAUUAGACCCCUGCUGUCCACCUUGGCCUGCUACUACUUUGGAGUUCUUGUGGGGCUUCCUAGGGAGUUCGAGUUGGUUGGGGAAGUGCUGGAGGAGGGAUUUCCGGAGGAGGGAUUUCCAGUUGGUGUGUGGUGUGUCCAGGAGAAGGCCGCAUGCGUGGCCUUAGCGGGGAGUGUGGAGAAUAAAGGAGUUCCUGUUUUGAACCUACAAGGCUGUGUGGCGGCUGGGUUAUUUUGUGCCCAGCCAGACUGUGACACCGUAGCAGUACAGAGUACAGAUAGUUUGUAAAUAUAAAUCAGAAAAAAGGAUUCAAGUAUGCUAGGUUAGCAUAGUAGUAUCGCAGUAGAUCCUUGAGUAGAUGCUGCCUUUGGUCUGGGUGAGUGGAUGUGUUGUGCGGUGUUUGCUGUCUUGAGGGAGCUGUAUUGGGAGCACUCAUGCAGGAAGCCUCGCAGUAAUGAACCAGUGUGAGUGACAGCAGACCUAGUCUCCCUAGCGUGACAGCUGGGACAUAAGUGAUGGACAAGGGGUCAAAGCUUGGUCUGAUUCUUUUUGAGUUUUGUUUUGUUUGCUUGUGUUUUUGUUUUACUUUCUGGAGAAAAGGCAGUUUACAUGAAGGAAGGUUCUUGUUCAGUGGAUUUGAUUCCAGGAGCCUAGAGCCUUGGCGGGGAGGUGACCUGCAGAGUGAUCCUGUGGAUCCUCUGUGGGGAAGGUAUGCUGCCCUCUUGUCAGAAGAGGUUUUCUUUUCUCUGUUUUAUGCGACUCUUGGAUUAUAUCCCUCAGCCAGAACGAACACUCCUCUGUCUUCUGAAUAGUCAAGAGGGCUGUGGCUGUGUCUUGGUUCAUUUUGUCCUUUCCAACCCUGCAGAUCCCUCCCUCCCCAUGGGCCUCGAUGUCCACUCAUGUUCUGGUGUGGCCUGGAUGCCACCUAAUCCUCAAAGCC